rnacentral:ncRNA from 1 species
GGAGCAUGAUCAUAAGCCUGAAAAAAAAUUGACAGAAGGGCACCACCAGGCGUGGAGACUGUCUGUCCAGACAUGAUGAGAAUUGAAUUGACAGCUCGAGAGUUCUUUCUCGAUUUCGUGGAUAGUAGUACAUGGCCAUUCUUGGCCGUUGGAGUGAUUUGUCUGCUUAAUUGCUAUAAUGAACAAUACCAUAACCUGCUAAAUAGACCGUGAUGCUUUGGCAGUACGCCGGCUCCUUGAAGGGACUAUCGGUUCAAGCCGAUGGAAGUUUGAGAAAUUAAUAGGUCUGUGAUGCCCUUGGAUGUUCUGGGCUGCACGCGCGCUACAUUGACAGAGCCAGUGAGUACCCCCAUGGCCGAGAGGCCUAAGUAACCUUAUUAAACUCUGUCGUGCUGGGUAUAAAGCAUUGCAGCUGUUGCUCUUCAAAGGAGUAUCCCUAGUAAGUGUAAGUCAUCAACAUGUGUUUAUUAUACUCUGCUCUUUGUACACACCACUCACUGGUUGCUAUUGACUAAACAGCUCAGUGAAGGUUUUGCACUGGCCCAGGAAGGUUGGCAACGACCAUUCAGGGCCGGAAAGUUAUCCAAACUCAGAAAUAGCAUUGCUCUAUACCAAUUCUGUCUUUAGGCAG